GCCUUUCAUUAAACCACGAUAAAUGUGUCCAAUCUCAUCACAUCUCGGAAGCUAAACAGAGGUGAGUCGGGUUAGCAAUUGGAUGGGUGACCAGAUGUAGGGCUUGCCAGGUGUUGAAGGUG
rnacentral:rRNA from 1 species